GUGCCAUUCCCUGGGCAGGUGGUUCUGGGUUCUAUAAGAAAGCAGACUAACACAGAAGGGUAAAGGAAGUCUCCAUAAAACCCAGAGAGGAAAACUGCACUUCCUCUUUGGAUCCUGUCUGGAGUCACAGAU
ensembl:snoRNA LOC120097625 small nucleolar RNA SNORA26